CAUUCACGGAGAGUUUGAUCCUGGCUCAGGACGAACGCUGGCGGCGUGCUUAACACAUGCAAGUCGAACGAUGAAGCCCUUCGGGGUGGAUUAGUGGCGAACGGGUGAGUAACACGUGGGCAAUCUGCCCUUCACUCUGGGACAAGCCCUGGAAACGGGGUCUAAUACCGGAUAAUACUUUCUCCCUCCUGGGAGAAGGUUGAAAGCUCCGGCGGUGAAGGAUGAGCCCGCGGCCUAUCAGCUAGUUGGUGGGGUAAUGGCCUACCAAGGCGACGACGGGUAGCCGGCCUGAGAGGGCGACCGGCCACACUGGGACUGAGACACGGCCCAGACUCCUACGGGAGGCAGCAGUGGGGAAUAUUGCACAAUGGGCGAAAGCCUGAUGCAGCGACGCCGCGUGAGGGAUGACGGCCUUCGGGUUGUAAACCUCUUUCAGCAGGGAAGAAGCGAAAGUGACGGUACCUGCAGAAGAAGCGCCGGCUAACUACGUGCCAGCAGCCGCGGUAAUACGUAGGGCGCAAGCGUUGUCCGGAAUUAUUGGGCGUAAAGAGCUCGUAGGCGGCUUGUCACGUCGGUUGUGAAAGCCCGGGGCUUAACCCCGGGUCUGCAGUCGAUACGGGCAGGCUAGAG
rnacentral:rRNA from 1 species